rnacentral:rRNA from 1 species
CUUCGGGCAGCGCUAUAAUGCAGUCGAGCGACAGAUAAGGAGCUUGCUCCUUUGACGUUAGCGGCGGACGGGUGAGUAACACGUGGGUAACCUACCUAUAAGACUGGGAUAACUUCGGGAAACCGGAGCUAAUACCGGAUAACAUUUGGAACCGCAUGGUUCUAAAGUGAAAGAUGGUUUUGCUAUCACUUAUAGAUGGACCCGCGCCGUAUUAGCUAGUUGGUAAGGUAACGGCUUACCAAGGCAACGAUACGUAGCCGACCUGAGAGGGUGAUCGGCCACACUGGAACUGAGACACGGUCCAGACUCCUACGGGAGGCAGCAGUAGGGAAUCUUCCGCAAUGGGCGAAAGCCUGACGGAGCAACGCCGCGUGAGUGAUGAAGGGUUUCGGCUCGUAAAACUCUGUUAUUAGGGAAGAACAAAUGUGUAAGUAACUGUGCACAUCUUGACGGUACCUAAUCAGAAAGCCACGGCUAACUACGUGCCAGCAGCCGCGGUAAUACGUAGGUGGCAAGCGUUAUCCGGAAUUAUUGGGCGUAAAGCGCGCGUAGGCGGUUUCUUAAGUCUGAUGUGAAAGCCCACGGCUCAACCGUGGAGGGUCAUUGGAAACUGGGAAACUUGAGUGCAGAAGAGGAAAGUGGAAUUCCAUGUGUAGCGGUGAAAUGCGCAGAGAUAUGGAGGAACACCAGUGGCGAAGGCGACUUUCUGGUCUGUAACUGACGCUGAUGUGCGAAAGCGUGGGGAUCAAACAGGAUUAGAUACCCUGGUAGUCCACGCCGUAAACGAUGAGUGCUAAGUGUUAGGGGGUUUCCGCCCCUUAGUGCUGCAGCUAACGCAUUAAGCACUCCGCCUGGGGAGUACGACCGCAAGGUUGAAACUCAAAGGAAUUGACGGGGACCCGCACAAGCGGUGGAGCAUGUGGUUUAAUUCGAAGCAACGCGAAGAACCUUACCAAAUCUUGACAUCCUUUGAAAACUCUAGAGAUAGAGCCUUCCCCUUCGGGGGACAAAGUGACAGGUGGUGCAUGGUUGUCGUCAGCUCGUGUCGUGAGAUGUUGGGUUAAGUCCCGCAACGAGCGCAACCCUUAAGCUUAGUUGCCAUCAUUAAGUUGGGCACUCUAGGUUGACUGCCGGUGACAAACCGGAGGAAGGUGGGGAUGACGUCAAAUCAUCAUGCCCCUUAUGAUUUGGGCUACACACGUGCUACAAUGGACAAUACAAAGGGCAGCUAAACCGCGAGGUCAUGCAAAUCCCAUAAAGUUGUUCUCAGUUCGGAUUGUAGUCUGCAACUCGACUACAUGAAGCUGGAAUCGCUAGUAAUCGUAGAUCAGCAUGCUACGGUGAAUACGUUCCCGGGUCUUGUACACACCGCCCGUCACACCACGAGAGUUUGUAACACCCGAAGCCGGUGGAGUAACCAUUUAUGGAGCUAGCCGUCGAACUUAACAGGUA